rnacentral:rRNA from 1 species
UACGUAGGGUGCAAGCGUUGUCCGGAAUUAUUGGGCGUAAAGAGCUCGUAGGCGGUUUGUUGCGUCGGCUGUGAAAUCCCGAGGCUCAACCUCGGGUCUGCAGUCGAUACGAGCAAACUAGAGUGUUGCAGGGGAGACUGGAAUUCCUGGUGUAGCGGUGAAAUGCGCAGAUAUCAGGAGGAACACCGGUGGCGAAGGCGGGUCUCUGGGCAACAACUGACGCUGAGGAGCGAAAGCGUGGGUAGCGAACAGG